AGCCACGCAAUGAGCACAUAGUGAACUAAUCUUUUGCCUUUUACUAAAGAAUACCGUGUCGCGUUGUAAAUAGUGGCAUAUGCCAAUUUUUGGAGGGUUUUUCACUUUUUGAGAAAU